rnacentral:rRNA from 1 species
GACAUAUGGGGCGAGCGUUACUCGGAAUUACUAGGCGUAAAGCGUGUGUAGGCGGACCUUUAAGUUCGUCGUGAAAUCUCCCGGCUCAACUGGGAGGGGUCGGCGAAGACUGAAGGUCUCGAGUGAGGUAGGGGGAACCGGAAUUCCAGGUGUAGCGGUGAAAUGCGUAGAUAUCUGGAGGAACACCGGUGGCGAAAGCGGGUUCCUGGGCCUUUACUGACGCUGAGACACGAAAGCUAGGGUAGUAAACAGG